rnacentral:rRNA from 1 species
GAUGAGCGCUGGCGGCGUGCCUAAUACAUGCAAGUCGAGCGAACGGACGAGAAGCUUGCUUCCCUGAUGUUAGCGGCGGACGGGUGAGUAACACGUGGAUAACCUACCUAUAAGACUGGGAUAACUUCGGGAAACCGGAGCUAAUACCGGAUAAUAUUUUGAACCGCAUGGUUCAAAAGUGAAAGACGGUCUUGCUGUCACUUAUAGAUGGAUCCGCGCUGCAUUAGCUAGUUGGUAAGGUAACGGCUUACCAAGGCAACGAUGCAUAGCCGACCUGAGAGGGUGAUCGGCCACACUGGAACUGAGACACGGUCCAGACUCCUACGGGAGGCAGCAGUAGGGAAUCUUCCGCAAUGGGCGAAAGCCUGACGGAGCAACGCCGCGUGAGUGAUGAAGGUCUUCGGAUCGUAAAACUCUGUUAUUAGGGAAGAACAUAUGUGUAAGUAACUGUGCACAUCUUGACGGUACCUAAUCAGAAAGCCACGGCUAACUACGUG